rnacentral:ncRNA from 1 species
AUGCUGAAUUAGUGAUCGGCAUCGGGUGAAUUUAAACUCUUUUAAGGAGACUAACAUGUCACUAACUAAAGAACAGAAGCAAGAAAUCGUUGCUCAGUACGCACGU